GUCUAUGGCCAUACCACCCUGAACGCACCCGAUCUUGUCUGAUCUGGGAAGCUAAGCAGGGUCGGGCCUGGUUAGUACUUGGAUAGGAGACUGCCUGGGAAUACCGGGUGCUGUAGGCU
ensembl:rRNA 5S_rRNA 5S ribosomal RNA